GUUCAGUAUCUGCAUGCAGUGGGAGGAUAUACUGAAUCACAGGAUGCUCGUGCACAGCAGAUCUGAGUGGAUGGAGGCAUAUUAUGCCUCCAUCAACUCAGAAGUCCCUCUGGUUCACUCUAAGUGACUGCAACUGGAGGUGUUCAUAGCUUUCAAUGUAAACACUGUAUUUUCUCAGUGUUUCCAUGAGAAAGGCUGCAGGGAGCUAUAGUUCUCACCUGAACAACCUCAUUAAGCUGAAGUUGUUCAGGUGACUAUAGUG